rnacentral:rRNA from 1 species
UACGUAGGGACCAAGCGUUGUUCGGAUUUACUGGGCGUAAAGGGCGCGUAGGCGGCGUGUUAAGUCACUUGUGAAAUCUCUAAGCUUAACUUAGAACGGUCAAGUGAUACUGAUGUGCUAGAGUGCAGAAGGGGGCAACCUAGGAAUUCUUGGUGUAGCGGUGAAAUGCGUAGAUAUCAAGAGGAACACCUGAGGUGAAGACGGGUUGCUGGGCUGACACUGACGCUGAGGCGCGAAAGCUAGGGUAGCAAAACGGG